rnacentral:rRNA from 1 species
GGGGGACUUGGGAGGUGUUUGCCCCCAUGGGAUGGAACCGGCCCGAUUCUAACGGAGGCAGCAGUAGGGAUUUUUGGGCAAUGCACGAAAGUUUGACCGAGCAACGCCGGGUGAGUAAAAAGGUUUUCGGAUCGUAAAACUCUGUUGUUAGAGAAGAACAAGGACGUUAGUAACUGAACGUCCCCUGACUGUAUUUAACCAGAAAGCCACGGCUAACUACGUGCCAGCAGCCGCGGUAAUACGUAGGUGGCAAGCGUUGUCCGGAUUUAUUGGGCGUAAAGCGAGCGCAGGCGGUUUCUUAAGUCUGAUGUGAAAGCCCCCGGCUCAACCGGGGAGGGUCAUUGGAAACUGGGAGACUUGAGUGCAGAAGAGGAGAGUGGAAUUCCAUGUGUAGCGGUGAAAUGCGUAGAUAUAUGGAGGAACACCAGUGGCGAAGGCGGCUCUCUGGUCUGUAACUGACGCUGAGGCUCGAAAGCGUGGGGAGCAAACAGGAUUAGAUACCCUGGUAGUCCACGCCGUAAACGAUGAGUGCUAAGUGUUGGAGGGUUUCCGCCCUUCAGUGCUGCAGCAAACGCAUUAAGCACUCCGCCUGGGGAGUACGACCGCAAGGUUGAAACUCAAAGGAAUUGACGGGGGCCCGCACAAGCGGUGGAGCAUGUGGUUUAAUUCGAAGCAACGCGAAGAACCUUACCAGGUCUUGACAUCCUUUGACCACUCUAGAGAUAGAGCUUUCCCUUCGGGGACAAAGUGACAGGUGGUGCAUGGUUGUCGUCAGCUCGUGUCGUGAGAUGUUGGGUUAAGUCCCGCAACGAGCGCAACCCUUAUUGUUAGUUGCCAUCAUUUAGUUGGGCACUCUAGCGAGACUGCCGGUGACAAACCGGAGGAAGGUGGGGAUGACGUCAAAUCAUCAUGCCCCUUAUGACCUGGGCUACACACGUGCUACAAUGGGAAGUACAACGAGUCGCUAGACCGCGAGGUCAUGCAAAUCUCUUAAAGCUUCUCUCAGUUCGGAUUGCAGGCUGCAACUCGCCUGCAUGAAGCCGGAAUCGCUAGUAAUCGCGGAUCAGCACGCCGCGGUGAAUACGUUCCCGGGCCUUGUACACACCGCCCGUCACACCACGAGAGUUUGUAACACCCGAAGUCGGUGAGGUAACCU